rnacentral:lncRNA from 1 species
CAUAUGUUGUUUACAAAUCAUUCUCAAGUAGUAAAUGGAAAUGAGCGAAUGCAGCUACAUUUGGUCAUCUUGGGUUUUAAUACAUUUUAUUCCGUUUAGUUCCUUUCUUCAUAAGUGUAGAGGAGAACGGCAGUUGUCCGCAUGUAAACUUCUAGCAUUUGUCACCAAUUAGAGUACAUCGAAAUCUGUUACUGUUUCAACACCCG